rnacentral:rRNA from 1 species
UACGUAGGUCCCGAGCGUUGUCCGGAUUUAUUGGGCGUAAAGCGAGCGCAGGUGGUUUAUUAAGUCUGGUGUAAAAGGCAGUGGCUCAACCAUUGUAUGCAUUGGAAACUGGUAGACUUGAGCGCAGGAGAGGAGAGUGGAAUUCCAUGUGUAGCGGUGAAAUGCGUAGAUAUAUGGAGGAACACCGGUGGCGAAAGCGGCUCUCUGGCCUGUAACUGACACUGAGGCUCGAAAGCGUGGGGAGCAAACAGG